rnacentral:lncRNA from 1 species
CUGAGAAGAUAUUGUUCUUGACAUAUGAGGAAAUGAAGCAAGACACAGCUGCUCAUGUUAAGAAAUUAGCUGAGUUCAUGGGUUGUUCUUUCACCUUAGAGGAAGAGGAGGGAGGGGAGGUGCAAAAGAUAAUAAGCAUGUGUAGUUUUGAGAAGUUGAGCAGCUUGGAGGUCAAUAAAAAUGGGAAGCACCGUCCGGACACAUCACUUGCUAUUCAAAACAGUGUAUACUUCAGGAGAGGUGAGAUAGGCGACUGGGCAAAUCACUUGACACCUGAAAUGGGAGCACGUCUAGAUGACAUAAUGGAGCAGAAACUCAAGGGUUCAGGCUUGAAGCUGCCCAGGUGACUGUGCCUAGGGUCCCAUUUGCUUAUGAUUAUUGCCCAAGCGGGUUCAUCAAAAGCUGUUAUCAACAUCUCGUGAAACAGAAACUGUGUAUCCCAAUAAAUACCCUCUUUGUUCAUCUCUUGUAUUUCCUAUCAAGUAUUCACAUUUUGUGAAUCAUCCAUGUCAAUAAGCAAUGUUCUUUUGUGAAUCUGUGUUUGUGACUUUCAUUGAUUUCCUUGCAUGCUUGUAAGAAUUCAAAAUGGGAUUCGUUUUUUUAUUUAUUUAUUUAACACAAGUGCAUGCAUUCCAUUAAUCAGUUGGAUAAAAAAUAAAUUUACUCUAAUAUAUAAUAUUAGAGUGUUUUCUUCACAGAAAUUGCAGUGUGUUUUCUUCACAGUUAUACAUGUUUUAAAAGAACCGAGACAACCCAUACAUGAGGGCGGAGCAAAGACCAACCGAGACAACCAUCCAUUAAGAUUGUUGAAUUGCAGAUCAAAUGAACGUAGGCGGCACAUCUGCUGGAAGGAUCUCGAAAUGCCUUGUAAUUGGUUAAAAUAAAGAUCAAGAUCUGUAGGAGAACUCGUGUUUUCCACUCCUAAAAUAAGCCCAGUUGCCGGCUUCAUGUGCAACAGAGGCACAUAGAGAAUCUGAAAGCAGUUUUUAUGCACUAUCAGCAGAAUAAUUUGAUCAGUCAGAAUGAAAACCCCCCCCCCCAGGCUCACAAAUCUUCUUACUUCAAACAAAUCUUUUGGAACCGAUAUAUAUGUCGAGUGAUGGCUUGAUUUAUACCGGAGAUUGUGUUGGAAAAUUAAAGAAGCAUGGCUUAAUUUGUACCUUGGAUGCGCAAAUUGAUUACAGGGAAAAAAUGACAGAAAGUGAGUUGCAGGGAAUGAAAAAGGCAUUAGUAAACUCAACACCUUUCAGGGUAUCGUUCCUUGGUUUGCUCCCUUUUAUUUCUUAUUUUGUUUUUCCUGCCAUUGUCUAAUGUUUUUCUAACUCGCAGUCUGGUCUCUGCAGAGAAUGAGAAAGCACAAACUCUUUAAGAGAAGAUAUUCUCCGGCAAUGGCAUCAAACAGAAAAGUCCGACGUCAACUAAGUGAGUGUAUAGCGUUGCUGCUGUGUUUACAGAAAAACACCAUUGUCAUGUGUUUGGUUACGGUCUAAACAUAAUUUUUUAUCGGUGAGACCCAUUACCAUUUGCAUUUAAACCGCAAGAUAACCAGAAGCAACUUUAAGCUGCGUUUUGUUUUGAGUUGCAAAUUGUGUUAUAAAUAGAGGCCACAAGAAAAAGAGCAGAAACAGAGCAGUGAAUAGUGAUUAGUGGAGAGCAACUCCCUCUCACCACUGACCUCCGCCAGCCACUGCUUUUUCUCUUCUCCUUCUCUUCUCGUUCUCCUUCGUCUUCUGCAUUCUCUACUGUUCACGUGAACAAUGGAGAGUGGAGAGCAGCUCACCAUCAACCCCUGCUGUUUCCACCGCCAGCCACUGCUCUUCCUCUUCCCCUUCUCCUUCGUCUUUUACGUUCUCCACUGUUAAUGUGAACAGUGGAGAGCAGCUCACCACCGGCCUUCACUAUUUCCACUGCCAGCCACUGCUCUUCCUCUUCCCCUUCCCCUUCUCCUUCCCCUUCUCCUUCUCAUUCAUCUUCUGCAUUCUCCACUGUUCAUGGCCGGACUGGGCCUAGCCCAAACCUAAAUGUAUUUGACUGGGUCCGACCCAGUAAAAUAAAAAAAAAUCCAAAUUUUUUUUCUUAAAUAUUGUGUUUUAUUUGAAAAACUAGUGUUUAAAAUUAUUCAAUGACACUACAUAAUUAUAUUAGAAGGAGAUCGCACGAUGACGUAGCAUGUGCAGAAUUUGAUUGCAAUCCUAAUUUUUUUCCUAAUGAUAUUUUACAUGAUGUAAUGAUAUCUUACCUGAUGUUGGUGCAAGUUCAGGAAGCCAUGGAAACUGUAGUUCUUGUCGGAUGGAUUUCGUAUAUGAUUGAAUUGCAAAUAGUUUAAUGGAACAAUAAAAAAUACUUUAUAUAAAGUAUUGUUUAUUUCAUGAUGUAAUAGCAGUAGUUAAAUCUAUAAUAUUUCAAUUAAAAACCAUCAAUAUUAAUAUAUGUCUUUUUUAGUUAUUUUAUAACCUCAAUUUGAAAAGUAUUCUUUAACCAAACACAUUAAACUACUUUUUGUUCAACCUCAAUUUCAACCACAGUUUUAACCAAACAUAUAUUUUUCCAAACUAAUCUAAACUAAAAGUAUUUUUUAUAAAAACAAUUUUUUUCAAACCACAACAGCUACCACAAUACCAAACACACACAAAAAAAACUGUACUGAUAAGUAAGUUACAAUGCCACCACUGAUUUAGGAUCUGCUUUAGAUCUUAUAAGGUGAAAGUUGAAAGCUAGCAAGAAUCGUCACAGAGAUGAACAGAGAAGUGAAUAGAAUUAGAGGGAGAUACUGCAAUGCAGAGGAAGAAGAAAAACAUUUCUGUGUAUAUUCACUUAUAUUUUUUUACCAGCGCUGUUACAUUCAUUUUAUAUGAACCAAGAUGAGAAGCUUGUUUACGUAAUCUAAUCAACAGUAACAGACUUUGUUAACUGUCUAACAAUAUUAACAAACUUUCUAACCAUUGUAUUCUCUAUUCUCUUGACAGGUGGCAGAAGCAGAGCCUUUGAUAUCUUGACAUUCCCCCUCAAUCACAAGCGUGAAGGAACCAAGCAUAAGAUUGGAACAGUGACGCCGAAAUAAAGGAGUGGAAAGACCUUUAGUUAGGAUAUUAGCAAAUUGAUCGGUAGAAGAGACAUGUUGAACCAACAAAUCACCUUUGACAACACGUUCUCAAACAAAAUGAUAAUCAAUUUGGAGAUGCUUCAUUCUGGAAUGGAAGACUGGAUUGGAAGCAAGGGAAAUAGUUGAGAUAUUGUCAUAAUGAAUUAACGGAGGGAUAUGUAAAGGAAUGUGAAUGUCACAGAGCAGUUGGCGAAUCCAGGCAAGUUUGGCAGCAGCAAUUGCUAGAGCCCGAUACUCAACCUCAGUAGAUGAUCGAGAAACAAUAUGUUGUUUCUUAGAAGCCCAAGAAAUAGGACUGGAGCCGAGGAAAACAAUAGAGCCAGAGACAGAACGUCGAUCAUUGGGAUCGCCAACCCAGUCAGCAUCACUAUAAGCUUGUCGAUUAAGAAGACUAGGCUGAAAAUGAAGGCCAAAAUCAAGGGUACCUUUAAGAUACCGCAAGAUUCUUUUGACAGCCACAACAUAAGAAUGCAUGGGAUUAUGCAUAAAUUGACAAGCUCGGUUCAUAGAGAAAGCAAUAUCGAGCCUGGUGAACGUGAGAUACUGCAAUGCGCCAACUAUGCUCCGAUAUUGUUGUGGAUGAGAGUAGGCUUAGCCAUCAUCUUUGAGCAAAUGAUGAUGAGGAAGACAAGAAGUAUCAAAUGAUUUGGAAUUUUGUAAAUCAACUCUAGCAAGUAAGUCUGUGAUAUAACUUAUCUAGGACACAAACAAACCAGAAGGGAGAUAAGAGAUUUGCAAUCCCAAAAAAUAAUUCAACUUACCGGUAUCCUUCAUAUCAAAUUUCUGAGUCAAGGCAGCAAUGACUGAAGAAAGAAGAGAAUAAUGACUGCUAGUAAGAAUGAUAUCAUCUAAAUAGAGUAGCAAUAUCACAACACUAAGAGAAGAAUGCUGAACAAACAAAGAGGGAUCGACAAGAGAUGCUUGAAACCCCAAACAUGGUAAAAAAACUGGUAAAACGUUCAUUCCAGGCACGAGGAGCCUGUUUAAGGCCAUACAAGGACUUUCUUAGUCUGCAAACAAAGUUAGCAGGAUAAAGCUUACUCAUAAAACCUUGGGGUUGAGUCAUAUAAACCUCCUCAUGAAGAAUACCAUGCAAAAAGGCAUUGGUAACGUCAAGCUACCGUAAGGACCAGUUAAACUGAGCUGCAAGAGUAAGAAUUAAACGAACCAUAGUAGGUUUUAUGACAGGACUGAAAGUUUCAUUAUAGUCAAUUCCUUCCUCUUGAAUGAAACCCUUAGCCACCAAUCGAGCUUUAUGCCUAGCUAUAGAACCAUCCGCAUGCUUCUUGAGUCGGUAGACCCAUUUACAGCCAACAAGAUUCUUAGCAGGUGGGAGAGGCACCAAAUCCUAAGUACCUUAUGCAUGAAGAGCAUCAAUUUCCUCCCACAUAGCAGACUGCCAUUCUGGAAAGGUUGAAGCAGCCUUGAAGGAACUGGGUUCAACCUGAGAAAAAGCAACAGACUAUACAGAGGUAAAGUAAGCCUUUCUUUUGGAAAUACCAUUCUUAAACCUGAUGGUCAUUGGAUGAAGAUUCAUCGGUGAAAGAGGUAAGACCACACACAGAUUCUCAGGUUGGAAGUCAGGAUCAAAUCUAGUGACAAAGAAGCGAUUGGUUUGAAUAAAAAAACAGAAAUACCCUUUAUACUGACCAGCAUACCCCAGAAAAAUACAAGUGGAAGUUUUGGGCUGAAGUUUGUUAGUAUUAUAAGGCUUGAGUAAAGGAAAACAAGCACAACCAAAAAUCCACAAAUGAGUAAUGACCAGUGGAGAACCAUAUAACAGGAAAUAAGGUGAUUUGAGUUGAAGAAUUUGACAGGGCAUUCUAUUAAUCAAAUAAAUAGAAGUAGCACAAGCACGAAACCAAAAUUUUGGAGGUAAAUGGGCAGUUUGUAACAGAGUGAUGGCUGUUUCUAAAAUAUACCUAUGUUUGCGCUCAGCAAGGCCAUUCUGUUUCGGAGUAUAGGGACAGGACAUUUGAUGGACAAUACCCUUGGUAAAGAGGUAAUGUUUGAAUUUAGUACUAAGAUACUCACCACCCCCAUCACUUUGAAAGACUCGAAGAGUAGCAGAAAAUUGAGCAACUAAAAAGGUAUGAAAGUAGGCAAAAAUGGAAUAAACCUCUCCUUUAUUGAUCAUCAGAAAAAACCAAGUAAAUCGAGUACAUUCAUCAAUGAAACUAACAUAAUAUCUGAAACCUUCAACAGAUACAGUGGGAGAAGAACCCCAAACAUCACUAUGUAUGACCUCUCAAGGUUUAACAAAUUUAACUGCGGGAUAGGGAAAAGGAAGUUUAGCAAGUUUACCCUCUAAAAAAGUGGUACAAACGAAUUUGGAUGUGUUUGAAGUGAAAGAAAUCUGGGAUUGAUUUAACAGAGUAGAGGUGACUAUGUUAGAGGGAUGACCAAAACGCUUGUGCCAGAGACUUGUGUUGACCUGUUUACCAAGAUAGCAAACUUGAUUAUUUUGAAAGAGAGAUUAUGAAGGAAACGAAAUGGAGAAAGGAAUAGGAUAUAACCCAGCUCUACACAGUCCCUUGAGAAGGACAUUUCCCAUGAAUUUGUCCUGAAUCCAAAAACCAAAAUCAUCACAAAUAAAUCGACAGUUGUUAUCUUUACACAACUUAUGAACCGAUAAUAAGUGUUGAGAUAGCUUAGGCACAUGCAAAACUUGCUUUAAUUGUAAUGAGCAUUGAUGAACAUCUAAAAUAAAAGAACCAAUAUUAGAAAUGGUCAAACUUGAACCUCCUGUAGUGGUAACAGUAUCAGAUCCUGAGAAAGGUGUAGCCAGAUUGAGUUGAGCCAAAUCAGAAGUCAUAUGUGUUGUGGUGCCAUUAUCAGCCAGCCAUAAUUGUUCAGGAGGGGAAGAAGAUGGAAAAUUGGCAUGCAUAGCACUAAGAUUACUGGAGGGAGGCCUGCCUUGAUAGCUGAAAUUACCUCUAUGAUAACAUUGAACGGCAGAGUGCCCAAAUUUUCAACAAAUUUGACAUUGAAUGGAAGUGGCAAAAGUACUUAGCAGAGUGUGGCGUUGAUAACAAUUAGCAGCUACAUGACCUUUUUUAGUACAAAUUUGACAUGUAGGAAUGUCAAUGCCAGAACCAAGAAUGCCAGGAUUAGAAGUAGGUGGAACCUAAUAAGGGCGUGGACUAGAUUGAUAAUGAUUACGUCCUCUGCCAUAACCCUUAAAAUUAAACCCCUGAUUGCCAAAGUAUCCUCCAGUAGAACCAUGAAAGCUACUGUGAUGACCAUUAAAUCCUCCAUUGAAACCAGAAGGAAAUUAAGAUGGUGGAGCAGACUUGGAGCUAGAAGGAUGAGAAUUAGAGUUACCUUUAUCAAGAGCAAGAGCCUUGCCAGGAGAUAUUUGAUGUUGAGCCAUCACUGCAGGAACAAACAGGGAAGCAGAAUAAGUUUGCUCAAGAAUGGCUUCUUCAGCUAGCAAUUGAGACCGAAAAUCUUUAAGGGAUAACACGUUGUCUCGGUCGCGAACAAUACACCUAAAGGUGUUAUAAUUAGAAGGAAGACCAUUGAGAGCCAAGAUUACAAUAUCAUCAUCUUCAAAAUAAACCCCUGCUACAGAAAGAUGGUCUCGAGCAUCUUUGAUCUUUUACAGAUAUUGAGACACAGAAUCUGAGCCCUUCUUGAUGGUUUGAAGCUCACUUUUCAUCUGAAAAAUAUGUGCCUUAGUAAUUGUGGAAAAUCUAUUCUUCAGUUGAAUCCACAUGUCAUGAGAGCUAACACAUUCAAUAACAUAGGAGAUUGCAGUUGAUGAGAGAGUAGCAAUAAUCAACUGCAUCAAUGUCCGGUCAUACAUUUUCCAAACCUGAUGAUCAUCAGUUUCAACACAUUCAAGGUCAGCAUCUGCAUCAAACCGAUUUGGACACUUUCUUGAUCCAUCAACAAAUCCUAAAAUACCAUAACUCUCAAGUAGAAUAUGCAUAUGAAAAUUCCAGAUGAGAUAAUUUGUGUCAUCCAGCUUGACUGUUACAGCUGUUGAAACUGUAGGAAGUAAACAGGUAAUAGGAGAUUGAACAAUUUAAAGUUGAGAAGUAGUCACCAUUUUAGAGUUCAAGAGAUAGCGAGGAAGAGAAUCACAUACGAUAGGCAUAGUCCCAGAUUUGAGAAGAGAGUUGAAGAAGAAUUUUUCAGUUUGACAAUAUAUCAAAUAGAUGAUAGGUAGAUCAAUUAUUAUGAAAGAAUUGGUUGAUUAAGGCGAUAAUAAUACCAGAAACAGAGAGUAGCAAGAUAUUAGAAGCAGAGAAAUCACAGGAUCACAAGAUAAUAACAAUCCUAAGCUCUGAUACCAUGAAAGCUAGCAAGAAUCAUCACAAAGAUGAACAGAGAAGUGAAUAGAAUUAGAGGGAGAUACUGCAAUGCAGAGGAAGAAGAAAAACAUUUCUGCAUAUAUUCACUUAUAUUUUUACCAACAUUGUUACAUACAUUCAUUUUAUAUGAACCAAGAUGAGAAGCUUGUUUACGUAAUCUAAUCAACAAUAACAGACUUUGUUAACUAUCUAACAAUAUUAACAAACUUUUUAACCAUUAUAUUCUUUAUUCUCUUGACAGGGCAGAAGCAGAGCCUUUGAUAUCUUGACAAAAGUAAAACACAAGGAAAUGCAUGCAUGCACACCACUAAUCUUUGAUUCUGGCGAGAACAGUGAUGACUACACUCUGAACCAAAUAGAAUUACAUUCCGAGAUGAAGAAAUUAAUAACACAGAGCAGUGCUAUAAAGCUACAUGUGAAACCAGAGAUUAAUAAGCAAUGCUGAAAAUUUUAUCAAGCAUAAGACGAGAGAAGCAUAGGACAUAUUUUUCCCACAAUUGAAUAUGUGAAUUGAGCACAGAUUUCCCUGUUGCAAACUGUUCCUAAUUUCUCAAAUGAUUAACUAGAAUACGAGUUGCACUUAAAAUUUUAAAGCAACAUAUAUGCUCUUGAUUUUUAGUGAAUUGCUGAAACAAACAUACAAGCUCGAUCACACCUCUAGAACAGAGUGACAGUUCAUGGUGACCUCAAAGACUGCAUCAAGUCCUCCAAGCUCUCGUAACUUUUCCCUAAAGCCCCCCCCAGUCUUCCUUAAUUACCAUGCCAGAUGUAUCUGAAUGAAUGCAACCCAUACAGUGAAAUGAAUAAGCAAUCAGAAAAGGAGAGAGAGAGAGUGAAAAAAUUUGUCACAAAACUAGAUAAUGGCGACCACAUAUCAAUAAUUCGAGAUAUGACGUGGGGCACUUUCAUCGUGAUUAUUGUUUGUCCAAUAAUGUUGGAUGUAUUAUUUCUUGUUAAGACUUUUUAGGUUGUGAAAAGUCCAAGAUGUAGUAUAAUAAAAUAAAUAUAACCUUUGAUUUUAUCAUUUAUAUUGAGCUGAAAUUUUGACAUACAAUUCUAAAGAUUUUGUGGUUAAAAUUUCAAGAUCUUAAAAAAAAGACCUUUAAAUAAGGAUUUAAAGUUACUAUGAGAUGGUCUUUAUUUACCUAUUUGGUAUUGUUUUUAUUUAUAUUAGGAAUUUUAAUUUAAUUAGUAUUUUAUUAUUAAAAAAUUCUAAUAAUAGAUUGAUUCUAUUAGUUAGGCAAGUUUUAAAUACAAUUUAUUUUUCUAUACAAAAUUUUAUAUCUAGAACAAAUAUAAAUAAAAAUAUUUAGUUUAUUUUUUGUUCGGGUAUUCAUAUUAUUAUUAAGAUUUUUUAAAAAUAUUUAGAGAUUUUUUUUUAUUUCGCUAUUGUGUUAGGACUAUAACCUUAAGGUUUGGAUGUUUGUGAAAGUGGAAGCGGUUACUUUUUAAAAUGUUUUUCACUUAGAAAUGCAUCAAAAUCAUAUAUAUAUUUUUUAUUUUUUAAAAUUAAUUUUUGACAUCAAAACAAUGCAAAAACACCAAAAAAUUAAUUUGAAAAAAAAUCAAAAAUUUUGAAAACCUCGAUCAAAAUGUUGUACCAAACACCCUCUUAGUUUUAUCUUAUUUUUAAAAAAUAAUUCUUGAUAUUAGCAAACAAAACAAUUUAAUAACACAAAAAAAUUAAUUUUAAAAAAUCAAAAUCUUAAAAAACUCUCGUCUAAAUGUUUGCUUUUAGUUUUAUCAUCGUUGCACUGCGUAAAGAUGCUAAAAAGAAAAUAGUUGAUAUAGCCACCUAAGUGCUGGUGGUGUUUCAGAGUGUAGUAGCGAUUGUUUUUUAAAGUGUUUUUUACUCGGAAAUGCAUUAAAAUAAUAUUUUUUUAUUUUUAAAAAAUUAUUUUUAACAUCAGCAUAUCAAAAUGAUCUGAAAAUACUGAAAAAAAUAUUAAUCUAAAUUAAAUAAAAAAAUAAAAAAAAAUCAAUCUCUUUUAAAAAUAUUUUUAAAAUGCAGAAACAAACAGGAUCUCUCAACCUGCUACAAAUAACUGCUGCAAUGGCCUUUCUUUAAUAUUUUACUUACACCAUUCUGCACAAUAUUUUCUUUUGUACAUCCAUGGAACCCUCUUUGCCUUCUACACAAAUUCAAAGCCCAUGCUAAAAACUACAAGGAAAUGAUCUCUACCUUUCUACAAGUUAAAGGCUUUUGGUACUUUCCGUCCUUCUUGGGAAGACCCAUCUCAGUUCAAGAACACUUCGAGCCUCAAUCCACUGAUAUAUUUGUCGUCAGCUUCCAAAAACGAAGGAAAUCUUUGGUUAAUGUUCUCUAAUAAGUACUAACACCUUUUCUCCUUCAACAGUGAAAUUUACGUGCCUUUCACACCUUUUUACGUUCGAACAUUUCAUUUGUUCUUGUGCUCUAAAUUCUAAAUUGAGUCUGUUUUUGUGAGUUCCAUUCUUCUAUUUAAAAGAUUAGAAAACGCAAGAUUGCAUCAAUGCUAAAUGCAAUUUCAAUAUCUGUGUGUGUGUCAAAUGCAUGGUGAUGUUACAUGAUGUGUUUGUUUUUACGUUUCAAAAAUAUUUUUUUAAAAUUAAAUUUUAUUUAUUUAUUUUUUAUUUUAAAUUAAUAUUUUUUAGUUUUUUCGGAUUAUUUUAAUUUACUGAUAUCAAAAUUAACUUUUUUAAAAUAAAAAAAAUAUUAUUUUAAUACAUUUCUGAGUAAAAAAUACUUUGAAAAGUAACUGCUACUACACUUCCAAAUAUACCCUUAAAAAAACAAAGUUAUGGAGUUGGAGGCUCUAAAUAUUCCUCAAAAUAUCAAGUCUUAAGGGCUCGGAGCUAUUAUCCAGUCUUAAAAUUUUUGCAUUUUAAAAAUAUUUUUAAAAAAAUGAAUAUUUUUUACUUUUUUUUAUUUUAAACUAUAUUUUUUUCUUUCUGUUUUUAUAUUGUUUUUAUGUAAAAAAUAAAUUUUAAAAAAUAUAAAAAUAUUUUUUUAAAAACAAUCACCAUACAAUAACAAAUAAAAUAUUAAUAUGAAAUAAAAUCUAAUUCUACCAGCAGACAGCUGAUAAGAAUACUAAAAAAGUGUAAAUUUUGACUUAAUUCAAUUAUUAGAAUUUGGGGCAGCGUAACAGUGUCAAAGAAAAUGUCAGAAAAGUAGGGCAAACAGUGCAAAUACCUUGGAUGAUGGUGACCAAAUAUUUGUAAUUUGAGACAUCUCGUUCUUGAAAAGAAAUAGUUAAUAGUGCCAAUAAUUUUUUUUUAUUAAUUUGAGGUGUUCAGACCAGUUUGCAUGCACCUCGACUAAUACUUACGGUUCUUGAAGUUAACGAAUAAAUAAGCCUCCAGUGGCCAUCAAUAUUAACAACUACAAGGCUCGAACUUGAGACCACAGGGGGGCAAACCCCUUGAUCCAAAACUCUUACCACUUGACCACCUACUAGAUGGUUAGUACCAAUAAUUAAUUUGCUCUCAACUUGCUACAAAUAGCUGCCAUGAUCACAUAUUCAAGAAACACUAGUUUAAGAGCUUGGGAUCAAGAGGUUUGCUCCCUCUGUAGUCUCAGGUUCAAGCCCUGUGGUUGCUCAUAUGAUGGCCACUGGAGGCUUACAUGGUCGUUAACUUCAGGGCCCGUGGGAUUAGUAGAGGUGCGUGUAAGCUGGCCCGGACACCCACGUUAAACUAAAAAAAAAAAAACACUAGUUUAUAAACCCUGAGGGGUAGCUCAACUGGUUAGAUUUUGAGUAUGUUUCCUAAUAAUCACGAGUUUGAGUUCUUUUAGGCCAACUGGAGGCUUACAUAGUUUUAAACUUCAGGACUCGUGAAAUUAGUAAAGGUACAUACAAAUUCAGUGGUGGAGCCAGAAAUUUUUAAAUGAGGAGGCAAAUUACUAACAAAUAUUUGAUAUUAUAUGCUAUACAUAUAUAUGUUAUAUAUAGAAAUGAAUUUGAAAUACAUGUGCCUCAAGUCAAGCAAAAUUAAUUUAAGAAUACUUUUAAAAUGAAAAAAACUUAUGUUAUAAUUGUUUUCUUCGAGAUUUUAUAUUUUAAAACUGCUUCAUAAUAAUUUUAUUUUUAAUUUCAUUAAAAAUAUAUUUCUCAAUAUAUACAACAAACUUUCAUUUAUCUAUUUCUAAAUCUUCCAAGUACUAGGAAAGUUGUUGACAACAAUUUUAUGCUGACAUAUGGUACAUAACAUCUAAAAUCAUAUCUUAAAAGAAUUGUCAUAAAUUGAAGUUGUUCUUACUGACUUGUUGUUUUGUACAAGUAGAUUAAAUAUAAAUAUUAAAUGUUUUUUUAAAUUUAUCUAUUAUGUCUCUAAUUUUUUUAGUUGUCUUAUACUUCAUUUUUAAUCAUUAGUAAAUUCAUUAUCAUCGUUUUUCAUAUGAAAUUCAUAACAAAACUUAUCAAUUCAUCAAAACUCAUUUCAAUUCAUAUCCAUUAGCAUAUAAUAUUACCCAUACACAUAUUAAUUCAACAAACCCAUAAAUUAUUAUAAACCCUAACAUUUUUAAUAACUAAUUUUUGGAGAUGUAGACCCAGUAUUUUUGGAGCUUCCAUAUCUAGUUGACCUAUCAGGAAGAGAUGAAGUUAACGUUUGGGAAUGCGGUGCAAACCAUGUUCCCCUAAAAUUAAAUUUUUUUUUGUUAAAAAUUAAUUUUUUGGUAUAUUUUGGAUCGUUUUGAUGCGCUGAUCUCAAAAAUAAUUUUUAAAAAAUAAAAAAACAUCAUUUUGAUGCAUUUCGGCACAAAAAAUACUUUGAAAAGCAACUGUAACCACACUCCUAUACAAGUAAAGUCUCUAACAGCACAAGUAUAAAAAAUAUAACUGCUGGGCAAACCAACUCUUUUCUCAAACCCAUCAGUUGCCUCAUGAUAUAUAUAUAUAUAUACACAUAUAUAUAUAUAUAUAUAUAUAUAUAUAUACACACACACACCAUGCAUAGAAUUCAUGGAUAAAAGAAAGGAAUUGGAUCUGAUUUGAGGUGGGGGGAUUGCCCCCUCUUGCCUUUAUGUGGCUCCGCCACUAUAUAAAUUAGUUUGGAUAUUUACAUUAAUUAAAAAAAAAAUACUGGUCUAGAAAAGCGAUCUACAAGGUGAUUAUUUAGUUGACUAAUUGAAUCUGUUUUUUAUAAAAAAAAUAUUUUAGAAGAUAAUUUUUAAUAAUUUUAGAUUUUUUUAUAUAUAAAUAUCAAAAAUAAAAUUAAAAAAAUAACAAAAUAUUAUUUUAAUAUAAUUUUAAAUAAAAAACACAUUUAAAAAAACUUAAUAGUAUACUCUCAACCAAGGUUGUCAAUUCCGUUUCGGUAGGUGUUUCGUUUUUUUAAUUGGAAUGGAAUGUUUCAGUUUCGGAGUGUUUCGGCGUGCCGUUCCGGGGUUGUACUGUUCAUAUAUAUAUAUUCAACAAACAUAAUUCAAAUUCAAGAUAAAUUAAUUAUAAAUUAUGCAAUACAAACACAAUGCCAAACAAAUAUAAUUUCAAAAUUUAAAAUAUUUCUAAAUAGUCAAGAUUAAAUAGAUCUUUACCUUAAAGUAAUUCAACUUAAACAAAAUAUCAAAAUAUUAUGAAAGUAAAAUGUUUUAACAUAAAUAUUUUAAAUAUAAAGUUAGGUCAAUGUUAUCAAGGCUAAUUGAAUCUAAAGCAUCCCUUGGUUUGCUCAAAUUUCUACAAAGUAUAAACAUGAAAAAAAAACAUGAAUAUAAACCUUAUAUAUUAGUGAUAAAUCUAAUUUUAAAAAAUUAAUAUCAUUGUUAAUGAAAAUAGUAAUAAUAAUUUUCAAUAUUAUUAUUAAUAUCAUUGUUAUUGAAAAUAGUAAUGAAAAAGAGCCUUUUAUAAUUGGGUGAUUUAAUUAAUUAAAUUGAACAAAAUUCAAUUUGAUUCAAUGGAUUUUCAAGAACGGAACGAAACAAGUGGAAUGAAACCGGAACGUUCCGGGUGGAAUUUAGCCGAAAAAUACAGAACAGACCGAGAUUUAAAAUAAAAUGAAAUUUAUUUUAUUUUUUAAAUUGGUAUGAAAUAUUUCGUUUAUUUCAUACGAAACAAAACAGAAUUGACAACUUGCUCUCAAGCACCCAAAAUAGAGGAUUCAAUUGUAUUGUGGGUUCCACACCAUUUAAAGCUUGCAAAGAAGGAUUUGAAACACAAUCACACUAAAGAUUUGCAAUGGAAUAUAAUAUAAAAUAAUACCCAAUGGCAUCAGCGGACAUGUAAUCAAUAAUAUUAAAAUACAGUAAAUUUUGAUUUAAUUCAAUUAUUGGAUUCUAGGCAGCGUGACAAUGUCAGAAAAUCUUGGAUGAUGGUGACCAAAUAUAUCAGUAAUUUGAGACAACACGUUCCCGAAAGGUAAUAGCUGAUGGUGCCAAAAAUUAAACCAGCUCUCAACUCGCUACAAAUAGCUGCCAUGGCCUUUCAUUCUACCUUAUAUUUCUUUUUUAACUUUCAUGGAAUCCUCUUUGCCUUCCUCCCAAAUCUUGGAUUCUGAUGGAAAUGCUGAGAGGAAAAAUGAAGCUAAAAAUUACAAUGAAGUGAUGUCCACCCUUCCAAAAGUUAAAGGCUUGAGGGGGGAUGAUUAUUACCUGUACCAAGGCUUUUGGUACGCUCCCUUCUUCUUGGAAAGACUCAUGUCUGUUCAAGAGCACUUCCAUCCUCAAUCCACUGAUAUAUUUGUCGCCAGUUUUCCAAAAACUGGCACAACUUGGCUUAAGGCCCUCACUUUUGCUAUUUUCACACGAUCCCGUUUAAGUGGUUCAACAACUAGUUCUUUACUUUCCAAGAUGCCACAUGACUGUGUUCCUUUUUUGAAUUAUAACCUUGCUCAAAACCCCAGUAAUCGGGACUUGACAAUUCCUCUGCUAUCUACUCAUGUUCCUUACAGUUGUUUACCUAAAUCUAUCAUUUCUUCUUGUUGCAAGAUUAUUUACAUUUGCAGGGACGCAAAGGAUGCUUUUGUUUCUUUGUGGUACUUUCAUGCCACGUUGCAAAGGUCGAAAAAUGUUGAGCCUCUUCCUCUGGAAGAGGCUUUUGAGCUGUUCUGCAAUGGAAUUGCAAAUUUUGGACCCUACUGGAACCAUGUUUUAGGGUACUGGAGAGCAAGCUUGGAGUUCCCCGAGAAGAUACUGUUCUUGACAUAUGAGGAAAUGAAGAAAGACACCGCUGCUCAUGUUAAGAAAUUAGCUGAGUUCAUGGGUUGUUCUUUCACCCUAGAGGAAGAGGAGGAAGGGGAGGUGCAAAAGAUAAUAGGCAUGUGUAGUUUUGAGAAGUUGAGCAACUUGGAGGUGAAUAAAAAUGGGAAGUGCCUUCUAGACAUAUCAAUUCCUAUUCCAAAUAGUAUAUUCUUCAGGAAAGGUGAGAUAGGCGACUGGGCAAAUCACUUGACACCUGAAAUGGGAGCACGUCUAGAUGACAUAAUGGAGCGGAAGCUCAAGGGUUCAGGCUUGAAGCUGCCCAGGUGACUGUGCCUGGGCCCCGUUUGCUUAUUAUUAUUGGCUUAGUGGGUUCGUCAAAAGCUGUUAUCAACAUCUCGUGAAACAGCAACCGUGUAUCCCAAUAAAUACCCUCUCUGUUCAUCUCUUGUAUUUCCUAGCAAGUAUUCACAUUUUGUGAAUCAUCCAUGUCAAUAAGCAAUAUUCUUUUGUGAAUCUGUGUUUGUAACUUUCAUUGAUUUCCUUGCAAGUUUGUAAGAAUUAAAAAUGGGAUUCGUUUUUUAUUUAUUUAUUUAACACAAGUGCAUGCAUUCCAUUAAUCAGUGAUAAAAAAAAAUAAAAUUACUCUACUAUAUAAUAUUAGAGUGUUUUCUUCACAGAAAUUGCAGUGUGUUUUCUUCACACUGCAAUACAUGUUUUAAAAGAACCGAGACAACCAUACAUGAGGGCGGAGCAAAUACCAACCGAGACAACCAUCCAUUAAGAUUGUUGAAUUGAAGAUCAAAUGAACAUAGGCGGCACAUCUGCUGAAAGGAUCUCGAAAUGCCUUGUAAUUGGUUAAAAUAAAGAUCAAGAUCUGUAGGAGAACUCGUGUUUUCCACUCCUAAAAUAAGCCCAGUUGCCGGCUUCAUGUGCAACAGAGGCACAUAGAGAAUCUCCCCCCCCCCCCCUCCAGGCUCAGAUCACAAAUCUUCUUACUUCAAACCAAUCUUUUGGAACCGAUAUAUAUGUCGAGUGAUGGCUUGAUUUAUACCGGAGAUUGUGUUGGAAAAUUAAAGAAGCAUGGCUUAAUUUGUACCUUGGAUGCGCAAAUUGAUUACAGGAAAAUAUCAAAAAAAAAUUUCCUUUCUUUAUAACUUAUGAAGAGUAAAAUAAAAAAAAAGUUAAUAGUAAAACAAAAUAACCCCAAGUGUACAUUAUCAAUGCAAAACUAGAUUUUUCCUUAUUUUAUAUCCCUUUCUUUUGAUAUACUUCUUCUUUUAUGCCCCUUUCUUUUGGUAUAUCUCUUCUUUGUAUCUUUUGGUGUUAAUCACUUUGUUGAAUGCCUCUGUUGAUAUCUUUUAUAACUCACUACAGUGAUUUGAACAUUGAAAAUGUUUCCUUUUAAAAAAAAAAAAUAGAGAAGGCAUUUUGAUUUCAUCUUCAAUUUUUCUGCAUGUCUUCUUCUUUCAAAGUAUUGGGUUUAAAACACAAUCAUGCUCUACAUCAUGCUUUGAGUUUUCCAGGUUAUUUUCAGAAAGAUUUGAUAUAUUUGACCUGAAAGAAAAAAAGGAUGUACAAAGCUUUGCAUUUCUGGAACGUCUUUUCAUCAUGCUCUACAUGAUUCAAUCACAUUGCUCACAUCUACAUGAGUAACCAGAAAAGCAAGUAUUUCAUCGGAUUCUACAUGAUUCGAUCACUUCGCUCACAGCUUUAUGAGUCUCUGGUGAUAUCGUGUUUAAUUAAAUAGAAUAUUUAUUAUAAGAAACAGAUUUAUCAAAUAUAAUUGAGUAUAUGCCUCAUCAUAUCAAAUAUUUUAAUUAGAUGUAACUAUCUAGGUGGUGGUUCAGUGGUAAAAGUUUGGGACCAAGAUGUUUGUUCCCUCUGUGGUCUCAGGUUCGAGCCCUGUGGUUGCUCAUAUGAUGGUCAUUGGAGGCUUACAUGGUCGUUAACUUCAGGGCCCGUGGGAUUAGUCAAGGUGCACGCAAGCUGAUCCGGACAUCCAUGUUAAACUAAAAAAAUAUAUAUAUUUUAAUUAGAUGCGUGUGUACAAGUAUUUUAAUUUAUGAUUAAGAAUUUUUUUAUAUCAAAAAAAAAUUAAAAAGUCUGUAUAUUUAUUUUUCCUUGUUAAAACAAUUAUCUGAAAUAGCCAGUAAUCAACUAACUAUGAAAGAUAAGAUUGAGAAUUGAGAAGUUUAUUUGUCAGCAGACAGUAGCUUCAGUAGAUGGAAAAAGACUCUCUAGAUCACCGGAUCAAUUCCCACCUUCAUGAACUAUUUUUUAUUAGUACAGAAAGCUUCAUAUCAGUCAAAACUCUCUCUCUCUCUCUCUCUCUCUCUCUCUCUCUCUAAAUGGAUCAGAGACUACACAAAUAUAGAGGUGGAGCUUCACAUUAAGCUUCAGAUCAAUUUUCUAUUUUAAAAUCUCAUAAGUUUGGUCCAUUGAUUGCCCUAGAUUGCCCUAGAUUUUCCUGUGUUUUAUAUCCUUUUCUUUUGACAUUUUUUUUAAUCUUUUUCCAGGCCAAAAUCCUAAUUUAAUGUUUGAAAUUGAGAUGAUAAUUAUUUAACUAGAAAAUAUAUUAAAAUAAUAUUUUUUAUUUUUAAAAAUUUAUUUUAAUCAUCACCACAUUAAAACAAUCUAAAAUUAUAUAAAAAAAUUAAAAUAAUAAGAUUUAAAAAUAUUUUUUAAACACAAAAACAAACACAAUCAUCACUCAUAUAUCAUGAGAUUUGCAUUUAGACAUUAAAAUUCAAGAAGAAAUUAAGUUCACCGUACUAUUAAUUCAGUCGAUGAAGGAUUAGUCCCAACUACUUUAGGCCACCAUUAAUUACUUUAUUUAAAUGUAUACUUCUUUAUUAAUUCAGUCGAUGAAGGAUUAGUCCCAACUACUUUGGGCAUUUUAACUCCAUCUUCAAUUACUUUAUUUAAAGGUAUCCUUCUUUCUUAGAUAUUGAAUUUUGAAAACACAAUCAUGCUAAAGAUUUGUCAACGAAUUGUUUUUUAAAAUAAAAAAAUAUUUUAAAAAAUAAUUAAUACCAUACUACCGAGCAAAUGAAGUUAUGUGGAGGGUUCCGCACCAUUUAAAGGUUGUAAAGAAAGGUUUAAAACACAAUGACGAUAAAGAUUUGCUAUCGAAUAUAAUAUGAAAUAAUAAUACCCAAUUGCAUCAGCGGACAUGUGAUCAACAAUAUUAAAAUUCUGUAAAUUUUGAUUUAAUUCAAUUAUUGGAAUUCCAGGCAGCGUGGCAAUGUCAGAAAAUCUUGGACGAUGGUGACUAAAUGUUUGUAAAUGGAGACGGCACGUUCGCGGAAGGUAAUAGUCGAUGGUGCCAAAAAUUAAAUCAGCUCUCAACUCGUUACAAAUAGCUGCCAUGGCCUUUCAUUCUACAUUAUUUUUUCUUUUUUCACAUUCAUGGAAUCCUCUUUGCCUUCCACCCAAAUCUUGGAUUCUGGUGAAAGUGCUGAGAGGAAAAAUGAAGCUAAAAAUUACAAUGAAGUCAUGUCCACCCUUCCAAAAGUAAAAGGCUUGAAUGGGUGUGAUUAUUACCUGUACCAAUGCUUUUGGUACGAUCCCUCCUUCUUGGAAGGAAUCAUGUCUGUUCAAGAGCGCUUCAAUCCUCAAUCCACUGAUAUAUUUCUCGCCAGUUUUCCAAAAACUGGCACAACUUGGCUUAAGGCCCUCACUUUUGCUAUUUGUACACGAUCCCGUUUAAGUGGUUCAACAACUAGUUCUUUACUUUCCAAGAUGCCACAUGACUGUGUUCCUUUUAUGGAAUAUGACCUUGCUCAGAACCCAAGUAAUCGGGACUUGGCAAUUCCUCUGGUAUCUACUCAUGUUCCUUACACUUGUUUACCUAAAUCUAUCAUUUCUUCUUGUUGCAAGAUUAUUUACAUUUGCAGGGACGCAAAGGAUGUUUUUGUUUCUUUGUGGUACUUUCUUGCCAGGCUGCAAAUGUCUGAAAAUGUUGAGCCUCUUCUUCUGGAAGAGGCUUUUGAGUUGUUUUGCAAUGGAAUUGCAAAUUUUGGACCCUACUGGAACCAUGUUUUAGGGUACUGGAGAGCAAGCUUGGAGUUCCCCGAGAAGAUACUGUUCUUGACAUAUGAGGAAAUGAAGAAAGACACCGCUGCUCAUGUUAAGAAAUUAGCUGAGUUCAUGGGUUGUUCUUUCACCCUAGAGGAAGAGGAGGAAGGGGAGGUGCAAAAGAUAAUAGGCAUGUGUAGUUUUGAGAAGUUGAGCAACUUGGAGGUGAAUAAAAAUGGGAAGUGCCUUCUAGACAUAUCAAUUCCUAUUCCAAAUAGUAUAUACUUCAGGAAAGGUGAGAUAGGCGACUGGGCAAAUCACUUGACACCUGAAAUGGGAGCACGUCUAGAUGACAUAAUGGAGCGGAAGCUCAAGGGUUCAGGCUUGAAGCUGCCCAGGUGACUGCGCCUGGGUCCCAUUUGCUUCUGAUUAUUGCCGAAGUGGGUUCAUCAAAAGCUGUUAUCAACAUCUCGUGAAACAGCAACUGUGUAUCCCAAUAAAUACCCUCUCUGUUCAUCUCUUGUAUUUCCUAGCAAGUAUUCACAUUUUGUGAAUAAUCCAUGUGAAUAAGCAAUGUUCUUUUGUGAAUCUGUGUUUGUAACUUUCAUUGAUUUCCUUGCAAGUUUGUAAGAAUUAAAAAUGGGAUUCGUUUUUUAUUUAUUUAUUUAACACAAGUGCAUGCAUUCCAUUAAUCAGUGAUAAAAAAAAAAAAAUUACUCUACUAUAUAAUAUUAGAGUGUUUUCUUCACAGAAAUUGCAGUGUGUUUUCUUCCCACUGCAAUACAUGUUUUAAAAGAACCGAGACAACCAUACAUGAGGGCGGAGCAAAUACCAACCGAGACAACCAUCCAUUAAGAUUGUUGAAUUGAAGAUCAAAUGAACAUAGGCGGCACAUCUGCUGAAAGGAUCUCGAAAUGCCUUGUAAUUGGUUAAAAUAAAGAUCAAGAUCUGUAGGAGAACUCGUGUUUUCCACUCCUAAAAUAAGCCCAGUUGCCGGCUUCAUGUGCAACAGAGGCACAUAGAGAAUCUGAAAGCAGUUUUUAUGCACUAUCAGCAGAAUAAUUUGAUCAGUCAGAAUGAUCCCCCCCCCACUAGGCUCAGAUCACAAUUCUUCUUACUUCAAACAAAUCUUUUGGAACCGAUAUGUGGAGGGAUGGCUUGAUUUAUACCGGAGAUUUUGUUGGAAAAUUAAAGAAGCAUGGCUUAAUUUGUACCUUGGAUGCGCAAAUUGAUUACAGGGAAAAAAAUGACAGAAAGUGAGUUGCAGGGAAUGAAAAAGGCAUUAGUAAACUCAACAGCUUGCAGGGCAUCGUUCCUUGGUUUACUCCGUUUUAUUUCUUAUUUUGUUUUUCCUGCCAUUGUCUUAUGUUUGUCUAACUCGCAGUCUGGUCUCUGCAGAGAAUGAGAAAGCACAGACUCUUUAAGAGAAGAUAUUCUCCGGCAAUGGCAUCAAACAGAAAAGUCCGACGUUAACUAAAUGAGUUCAUGGGUCUCUUGUCUGAAUAUAGAAGUGCAGAAACUAAGCUUGACCAAAAACCCCCAUGCUACCAACUACAACUCAACAAGCAACAAAUCAAAUGAAUUGUGAUCCGCCAGUAAACAGCGAAUGGACACUGCCCCAGCAAUAGAUCAUACAAGCUCUGACCAACCGGUCAAAGAUCACGAGGACCCUACCCACUGCCCACUGACUGACAAUUCAUCAAAUAGAUUUAUUGCCGUUCACCACCUUAUUUAGAUGUAUUUUUAAAUAAUAUCCGUGAACUCAAAAAAAAAUCACUCAAAUAUCUCCCUAGAAAACUGACCUUGAACUCUUAACUAGGAGAAAAACAAAGAGGAAAAAUAGAGCUUAUAACAUAGGAAACUACGCUGAAAACUGAGGUGAAAAAAAGUGUAAGAAAUUCUGUAAAAAUGUCCAGAAACACUUUUUAUCACUUUUUACAGAGGAUUUUGAAACCUAAACCAAUGUAGAUUUACUUUUAGUAAUUAUUAAAAAUUAAUUUUUAUCAUUAUCAAUCUUAAUUAUCCGUUAUAAAUUAAAAUUAACCUUAACCCUUUUAGCUUUAAAUAUAAUGCUUUGUUAGAAUUAUAAAAACCAUUCAAAUUGAAAAAAAUUGCUUAGGCUGAAAAAAGUGUUCAGACUCUAUAUUCAUUGACAGUACAAACUGAUGGAUUAGAAAGAAAAAAAAUAUAUAGGCCAAAAAAUUAUAAAUCCAAACCCAAGUUUAAAAUAUAUUGAUAAAAAUUAAUUAUUUAUAGUUUACAAUAAAAUCAGACUUGGGACAAGCAAGCCAAUUAAGCAUGGGACUUCAACUCAAAGUUUACUUUACUUAGGUUUUUUUUUUUAAUCUGAGUGUAUUUUAAUCCAAUUUUAAUUCUUUAUAUUUUUAAUAUAUAAUUAACAAUAAAAAUGUUGUUUUUUUUACGUGAAAUAAAGGUUUUGAAUUUCACAAAGAUAUAUUCAUCAACAAAAUUAAAUUUUUAUUUAUUUAUAAUUUAUUUUAAUUAUUUUAAUAUUUUAUGUUAAAGAGAUUUGGUUGGAGAAUAAGUUUCAAUAAAAUUUAAAUCCGAAAAAUAAGUAGAUUUUAUUUUUAAUUUUAUUUCAAAUAUAUUUAUUUUUUAUGUUUUAAAACAAAUUUUAUCUCAUCUAUGUAUGUAUAAAUAUAUAAUCACAAUUCUCAAUACAGCACUUAUAGUUAGUUAUCGAACGAAAGAAUGUUAUCUCUUUCAGUAUGCCACAGAUAUUCAAAACACGGCGGUCACCCUUAUUAGCUUGCAGUCGUCUAUCGAAGUAUUAUCGCCAAAUCCACAGAAGCAAGGCAAACCACAGUUUUCUCUAGUUAUAGGACUAGACGGUACUGCGCUAGACUGCAGGUUUACAAUAUUUUUUCGAUAAAAUAUUUAAAUCAUGAGAAAAUCAUGCAUGAUUAAAAGAGUAAAAUUCAAAUUAAAAAUAUCAAUACAUGACAAAAUAAAAUUAAAAAAAAUUAAAUAAAAUUUUUAUAAAAAAACUAGAAUAAAAGAGAGGACUGAAACCGAAAAAGUUUAAACAAAAAGGACAUACCUGCAAUUUGAGGGGGGGAGGGAGGAGGAGAAAAAAAAAGGUUCAUCAACAACGAACUGCUCGACCUUCACCUACAUGUAUCGCACCAUGAGAAAGAGGAAGCAGUGAUGCUUCCAACAACACAAUAAAAUGUUUAUUUUUACAACUAGAGGUAUUGCAUGCUAUACUUGAAGUGCUAGCUUUUUAAAUUUUAAUAUUAUUUAUUUUUUUGUUAAAAGAUUACAAUGCGCAAACUAAAAAGAAAAACAAUAUAAAAAGAUAAAGUAUAACCUUGACCUAAAGCUUUUCUUUUUCUUUUUACUUCAAGGAUAUUUAAGUAAGUUUAGUGUACAUUCAAAAGCAUUUAAUGAAAUACCCUUCGACCAAGGUUUUUUUUUUUUUUAAAGUAUAAGACACUUAACAAAAUAAUAAAUAACAAAAAUUAAAAACUUAAAAAGACAAAAAAUACCCUUCGACCAAGGUUUUUUUUUUUUACUCCAAAGCAUUUAAUGAAUCUCGCCCAUAACGACAGCAAGUCUUUAAAAAGUGGAUUUCCUGAUGAAACCUGGAUAGUAUCAGUGCCAGCUCGAGCUCAGAAUGCGGCAUCUAUUGAUUAACUUACCAGUUACCAACACAAGGAGACACACACAACAACUUUAAAAAGGGCAUUAUAUAGCUAAACAUUGAUUAUUAUUUUUAUUUCAUUUUUAAUAUUAUAUUAAUUUUAAAUAUAUAUAUUUUUAAUUUCUCCAUUCAAUAACAAGUUGAAAUUCAUAAUUUUAUUUAAUUCAUUUCUUAUAAUAAUUUUUUUCCCAUCGUUUAAUUAAAUAAAAUAUUUAUUAUAAAAAAUAAAAUUAUUAAACAUAAUUGAGUAUAUGGCUUGUAUUUUUAGGUUAAAUAUUGUAAUUAGAUGUGGGUAUAAGCAUUUUAAUUUAUAAUUAAAAAGAAAAACUAUAUCCAAAAAAGAAUUUAAAAAACCUGUAUAUUUAUUUUUCAAUUAUCUAACCUGCAGCAGUGAAGUGCAAUUGAAAUAGCUAGUAAUCUAACUAAAAAAUUUAAGAUAAGAUUAAGAAAUGAGAAGUUUAUUUGUCAGCAGACAGUAGCUUCAGUAAAUAGAAAAUAUAGACUGUACUGCUGCUGAUCCCGGGAUCAAUGCCCACCUUCAUGGAUUAUAUAUAUAUAUAUAUAUAUAUAUAUAUUCAAUGUGAGAUAUUAAGUCAUUUAGUACAUACUAGUUAGAUGACUUGUGCGGUGCUGCGAGUUAAUUUUUUUUGCAUAAAAAUAUAUAAAAAAACUAAAAUCUAAAAGUAUUAGGUCUUUUUGCAAAGUUAUACCCAAGAAUCUUGGGUUUGGCUGCAACGCCUGACCCAAGAGUAAUAUUUAUAAUAUUAAUUAUAACAUUAAACUUGCAUGACUCAAGUUUAAAUGAGUCUAGAUGCAAUACCAUACCCAAUAGUCUUGGAUGUGGGUCUGGCUGCAAGGUCGUGUAAUAAAAGUGUGAUAAUUAAAUAGAUUAAUUAAAAAUAAAAAAAACAAAGAAAAAAACAAACAUGAAGAAAAAAACUAAUGAAGAAAAAGAAAAAAAAUUUGAAUUAACUGGGUUAACCCUUCAAACCAGGUUAAUCCGUCAAACCUUGGAUUCGUGUCGUGAAAGUUUGAUAACUAAAUAAAAAAAAAAUGAACAUUAACAAACUAAAUUAAAUGAAAAAAAUAAUUAAAAAAAAAAGCAUCAGCCUUUUCACUGUGGACUGCACUGUGCAGUCCACAGUCAAAUGCAUAAAAACAACAAAAAAGCAAAAAGAAAAACUAAAGGCAUCAAUCGAUAACUAAAUAGAAAAAAAAUUUAAUAUUGAUGAACUAAAUUAAAUAAAAAAAAUUAAAUAAAAAGAAGAAAAAACUUAUAAGAAGAAAAAAACUAAUGAAGAAAAAGAAAAAAAAUCUAAAUUAACUGGGUUAACCCGUCAAACCUGAGAUCCGUGUCAUGAAAGUCUGACAACUAAAUAAAAAAAAUUUAAUAUCAAUAAACUAAAUAAAAAAAUUAAUUUAAAAAAAAGGCAUCAGCCUUUUCACCGUGGAUUGCACUGUGCAGUCCAUAGUGAAAGGCAUGAAAAUAAAAAAAACAAAAAAAAACUAAAGGCAUCAGCCUUUUCACUGUGGACUGCAUAGAAUAUUAAAAGAUGAAAUCGGAAGAACAAAACUAAUGAGGAAAAAGAAAAAAAAAAUCUGAAUCAACUAGGUUAAUCCGUCAAAUCAAGUUAACCCGUCAAACUUGAAAGUGUGAUAACUAAAUAGAAAAAAGAUUUAAUAUUAAUGAAAUAAAUUAAAAAAAGAUUAAUUAAAAAGGAAAAAAGCAAAGAGAAAAAAGACCAACAGGAAGAAAAAAACCUAAUGAAGAAAAAGGAAAAAAAUCUGAAUUAAGUGGGUUAACUGGUCAAACCUGGGAUUCGUGUCAUGAAAAUCUGAUAAUUAAACAGAAAAAAUUUAAUAUUAAGAAACUAAAUUAAAAAAAGACUAAUUAAAAAAAGACAAAAAAAAACUAAAGGCAUCAGCUUUUUCACUCUUAAAAAGGAAAAGAGAGAAAAAUAAAAACAAAAGCAAACGCCACGGGUUAAUUUUUUUUUUCUUGCAUAAAAAAUAUUAAAAAAAACUAAGAUCUAAGAGUAUUAGGUCUUUCUGCAAAGAUAUGCCCAAGAGCCUUUGGUUUAGUUGCAACGCUUGACCCAAGAGUAAUAUUUAUAAUAAUAAUAAUAAUAAUAAACUUACAUGACUCAAGUUUAAGUGAGUCUGGCUGCAAGGUCGUGUCAUAAAAGUGUGAUGAUUAAAUAUAUUAAUUAAAAAGAAAAAAACCAACAUGAAGAAAAAAACUAAUGAAGAAAAAGAAAAAAAUAUGAAUUAACUGGAUUAACCCUUCAAACCAGGUUAACCCGUCAAACCUGAGAUUCAUGUUAUGAAAGUUUGAUAACUAAAUAGAAAACAAAAUUGACGGGUUAACCUGUCAAGCCUGGGAUACGUGUCAUGAAAGUCUGAUAAUUAAAUAGAAAGAAAUUUAACAUUAACAAAAUAAACUAAACGAAAAAAAAUUAAUUUAAAAGAAAAAAAGUAAAAAAAAAAUUCUAGGUUAACUCAUCAAACCAAAUUAACCCAUCAAAUCCGGGAUCCGUGUCAUGAAAGUCUGAUAACUAAAUAAAAAAAAUAACAUUAACAAACUAAAUUAAACAAAAAAAAUUCAUAAAAGAAAAAAAAACACAGAAAAAAAACAAAAAAAACAUAAAGGCAAAAAAAACAAAAACAAAAUUAAGUGAGAAUUACUGAUGUGCUUUGCCAAGCUUUGCAACAGAAAUCUCAAGACAUUUUAAAUGCUAUGCAUUUGCUGACUACCAUAAAGACUUUAAUUCAGAAGUUAAGAGAUGAUGGAUUGGAAACUCUUUUAGAACAAGUGACAUCAUUUUGUAAGCAUAAAAACAUUGAAGUUCCUGAUAUGGAUGCUUGUUUUUCUAGUGUGGGACGAUCUCGCUGUAAAACAAAAUCAAUAACAGUUGAGCAUCACUAUCGAGUUGAUAUAUUUAUAGCUAUCAUUGAUCAAUAGUUGCAAGAGCUAAAUAAUAGAUUCUAUGAGCAGGCGAUCGAGCUUCUUAAGUUGAGCAUAGCUUUAGAUCCUAAAAAUAACUAUAAAUUAUUCAGUGUUGAAGAUAUAUGCUAACUUGUUGACAAGUUCUAUCCUGAAGACUUUUCUGACCAAGAAAAAACUCAUUUGAGAUUUCAGUUGCAGCAUUAUGAGCUUGAUGUACCCAAUCAUCCAAAGUUAAAGAAUAUGUCAUCGAUUGCUGAUUUAUGUCAAGGACUGGUUGAAAUAGAAAAAUCAACAAUUUAUCUACUCAUUGAUAAGUUGAUUCGACUUAUUUUGACUCUUCCUGUUUCGACAGCAACUACUGCACGAGCUUUUUCAGCGAUGAAGAUUGUUAAAACAAGACUUCGCAAUCGGAUGGAGGAUGAUUUUCUUGCAAAUUAUUUGAUUGUCUAUAUAGAAAAAGAAAUUGCUGAAAGAUUCACAAUUGAUAUGAUAAUCGAUGAUUUCUACUCCAUGAAAGAAAGACAAAAACAAUUAAAAUAAAUAUGUAAGAAUCAUUCUUUAUUACUUUUUAUUUUAUUUAAAAGUUUUAUCAAACAUAAAUAAUGUAUCGCUUUAGCUAAUGUUUCUUAUAUAUUUUGUAUGUUUAUAUUUGAUAGGUACAAAAACCAACAAAAUUAAAGUGAUGAAUACAUUAUGAAGAUGAAAUUAACUUCAUAGCUUUGACUUAAUUUGAUAUUUGCUUUAAACAUCUUAUCUUAUACAAAAAUCAUAAUAUGUUUGUAAUUACUUUUUUGAAUAAAACUAAAUCAUGUCGUUUUUGUUUUUGUUUUUAUUUUUAUUUUUAUGUAAAGUAAAUUUUUAAAUAAAUUAUAUCUUUUAUUAUUUUAACCCCCAUUCAAAUAAUCCCAGCCCCUGACCGCAAUAACAAUCAAAAUAAAAUCUAAUUCUACCGGCUGCUAAGAAUACUAAAAUAGUGUAAAUUUUGACUUAAUUCAAUUAUUAGAAUUCGGGGCAGAUAACAGUGUUGAAGAAAAUGUCAGAAAAGUAGGGUAAACAGUACAAAUACCUUGGAUGAUGGUGACUAACGCCGUUUGUUUACGCGGGCGCGGGUGCGGUUGCCUUUUAAUUAAUAAAUAUCGGUAGUUGGAGACUUCUUGUUCUCGAAAAGAAAUAGUUAAUAGUGCCAAUAAUUAAUCUGCUCUCAACUUGCUACAAGCUGUCAUUACUCAUUACCAAAAUAUUAAAGAAACAAAUAUUUCCUAUUAGUAGAAAAGCGAUCUAAUAAAGCGAUUGUUCAGUUGACGUUAUUGAAUUGCUUUUUUAUAAAAAGUUAAUUUUUAAAUAUUUAUAGAUUAUUUUAUAUAUAAAUUUAAAAAAAAUCUUAAAAAAUUUAAAAAUAUAUUUUAAUAUAAUUAAAAAAAACAUUUGAAAAACAAUUAAUAGUAUAGUCUCAGGUCUCAACCACCCAAAAUAUACAUUUGAAAAACAUUUUAUAUACCUUGGAUUAAAUUGUGUUGUAGGUUCCACACCAUUUAAAGCUUGCAAAGAAGGAUUUAAAACACAAUCACGCUAAAGAUUUGCAAUCCAAUAUAAUAUGAAAUAAAACCCCAUUGCAUCACCGGACAUGUGAUCAAUAAUAUUAAAAUACUGUAAAUUUUGAUUUAAUUCAAUUAUUAGAGCUUGAGGCAGCGUGACAAUGUGAAAGAAAAUGUCAGAAAAUCUUGGAUGAUGGUGACCAUAUCAGUAAUUUGAGACAGCAAGUUCUCGAAAGGUAAUAGUUGAUGGUACCAAAAAUUAAACCAGCUCUCAACUCGCUACAAAUAGCUGCCAUGGCCUUUCGUUCUACAUUAUAUUUCUUUUUUUACUUUCAUGGAAUCCUCUUUGCCUUCCACCCCAAUCUUGGAUUCUGGUGAAAGUGCAGAGAGGAAAAAUGAAGCAAAAAAUUACAAUGAAGUAAUGUACACCCUUCCAAAAGUUAAAGGCUUGAGGGGGAAUGAUUAUUACCUGUACCAAGGCUUUUGGUACUCUUCCUUCUUCUUGGAAGGACUCAUGUCUGUUCAAGAGCACUUCAAUCCUCAAUCCACUGAUAUAUUUCUCACCAGUUCUCCAAAAACUGGCACAACUUGGCUUAAGGCCCUCGCUUUUGCUAUUCUUACACGAUCCCGUUUAAGUGGUUCAACAACUAGUUCUUUACUUACCAAGAUGCCACAUGACUGUGUUCCUUUUUUGGAAUAUCACCUUGCUCAAAACCCAAGUAAUCGGGACUUGGCAAUUCCCCUGCUAUCUACUCAUGUUCCUUACAGUUGUUUACCUAAAUCUAUCAUUUCUUCUAGUUGCAAGAUUAUUUACAUUUGCAGGGACGCAAAGGAUGCUUUUGUUUCUUUGUGGUGCUUUUUUCCGCGCAUCAAAUGUCGAAAAAUGUUGAACCUCUUCCUCUGGAAGAGGCCUUUGAGAUGUUUUGCAACGGAAUUUCAGUCUUGGGACCAUAUUGGGACCAUGUUUUAGGGUAUUGGAGAGCAAGAUUUGAGUUCCCUGAGAAGAUAUUGUUCUUGACAUACGAGGAAAUGAAGAUAGACACCGCUGCUCAUGUUAAGAAACUAGCUGAGUUCAUGGGUUGUUCUUUCACCUUCGAGGAAGAGGAGGAAGGGGAGGUGCAAAAGAUAAUAAGCAUGUGUAGUUUUGAGAAGUUGAGCAACUUUGAGGUGAAUAAAAAUGGGAAGCACCGUCCCGUCCGGACACAUCAAUUGCUAUUCAAAAUAGUUUAUACUUUAGGAAAGGUGAGAUAGGCGACUGGGCAAAUCACUUGACACCUGAGAUGGGAGCGCGUCUAGAUGACAUAAUGGAGCGGAAGCUCAAGGGUUCAGGCUUGAAGCUGCCCAGGUGACCGUGCCUGGGGUCCCAUUUGCAUAUGAUUAUUGCCGAAGUGGGUUCAUCAAAAGGUGUUAUCAGGAUGUCGUGAAACAGCAACUGUGUAUCCCAAUAAAUACCCUCUCUGUUCAUAGCAAGUAUUCACAUUUUGUGAAUCUUCCAUGUCAAUAAGCAAUAUUCUUUUGUGAAUCUGUGUUUGUGACUUUCAUUGAUUUCCUUGCAUGUUUGUAAGAAUUCAAAAUGGGAUUCGUUUUUUUUUUUUAUUUAACACAAGUGCAUGCAUUCCAUUCAUCAGUUUGAUAAAAAAUAAAUUUACUCUAAUAUAUAAUAUUAGAGUGUUUUCUUCACAGAAAUUGCAGUGUGUUUUUCUUCACAGCUAUACAUGUUUGAAAAGAACCGAGACAACCAUACAUGAGGGUGGAGCAAAGACCAACCGAGACAACCAUCCAUUAAGAUUGUUGAAUUGCAGAUCAAAUGAACGUAGGCGGCACAUCUACUGAAAGGAUCUCGAAAUGCCUUGUAAUUGGUUAAAAUAAAAGAUCAAGAUCUGUAGGAGAACUCGUGUUUUCCACUCCUAAAAUAAGCCCAGUUGCCGGCUUCAUUUGCAACAGAGACACAUAAAGAAUCUGAAAGCAGUUCUUAUGCACUAUCAGCAAAAUAAUUUGACCAGUCAGAAUGAUUUUUUUCCCCCUUACUAGGCUCAGAUCACAAUCCUUCUUACUUCAAACAAAUCUUUUGGAACCGAUAUGUCGAGGGAUGGCUUGAUUUAUACCGGAGAUUUUGAUGGAAACUUAAAGAAGCGUGGCUUAAUUAUACCUUGGAUGCGCAAAUUGAUUACAGGGAAAAAAUGACAGAAAGUGAGUUGCAGGGAAUGAAAAAGGCAUUUGUAAACUCAACACCUUUCAGGGCAUCGUUCCUUGGUUUACUCCCUUUUAUUUCUUAUUUUGUUUUUCCUGCCAUUGUCUAAGUUUUUCUAACUCGCAGUCUGGUCUCUGCAGAGAAUGAGACAGCAAAAACGCUUUAAGAGAAGAUAUUCUCCGGCAACGGCAUCAAACAGAAAAGUCUGACAUCAACUAAGUGCGUGUUUGACACUCCGGUUAUGUUUACAUAAAAAACAUCGUUGUCAUGUGUUUGGUUACAGUCUAAACAUAAUUUUCUGUUUGUGAGACCCGUUAUCAUUUGCUUUUAAACCGCAAGAUAACCAAAAGCAACUUCAAGCUGCCUUUUGUGUUGAGUUGCAAACUUUAUAAACAAAGGCCACAAGAAAAAGAGCAGAAACAUAGCAGUGAAUAGUAAACAGUGGAGAGUAGCUCCCUCUCACCACCGGCAUCCACCGUUUCCACCGCCAGCCACUGCUCUUCCUCUUCCCCUUCUCCUUCUCCUUUAUCUUCUGCAUUGUCCACUGUUCACGUUGCAUGUGAACAGUGGAGAGCAGCUCACCACCGGCCUCCGCUGUUUCCACCGCCAGCCACUACUCUUCCUCUUUCCCUUCCCCUUCUUCUUCUUCUUCUACAUUUUCCACUGUUCACAUGAACAGUGGAGAGCAUCUCCACUAUUCAUGGCCGGAUUGGGUCUGACCCAAACCUAAAUGCAUUGGACUGGGUCCGACCAAGUAAAAUAAAAAAAUCUAAAAACAUUUCUUAGAUAUUGUGUUUUAUUUGAAAAACUAGUGUUUAAAAUUAUUCAAUGACACUAUAUAAUUAUAUUAGAAGGAGAUCGCAUGAUGACAUAGCAUUUGCAGAAUUUGAUUGCAAUCCCAAUUUUGUUCCUAAUGAUAUUUUACCUGAUGUGAUGAUAUUUUACCUGAUGUUGGUAUACGUUCAAGAAGCCAUGAAAACUGUAGUUCUUGUCGGAUGGAUUUCGUACGUGAUUGAAUUGCAAAUAGUUUAAUAAAACAAUAAAAAAUACUUUAUAUAAAGUAUUGUUUAUUUCAUGAUUUAAUAGCAGUAGUUAAAUCUAUAAUAUUUCAAUUAAAAACCAUCAAUAUUAAUAUAUGUUUUUUUUAAUUAUUUUAUAACCUUAAUUUGAAAAAUAUUCUUUAAACCAAACACAUUAAACUACUUUUUGUUCAACCUCAAUUUCAACCACAAUUUUAACCAAAUAUAUAUUUUUUCAAACCAAUCUCAACUAAAAGUAAUUUUUAUAAAACAACUUUUUCAAACUAUAACCACAACAGCUACCACAAUACCAAAUACACAUAAAAAAAACUGUAAUGAUAAGCAAGUUAAAGUGCCACCAUUGAUUUAGGAUCUGCUUUAGAUCUUAUAAGGUGAAAGUAAAACACAAGGAAAUGCAUGCAUGCACACCACUAAUCUUUGAUUCUGGCGAGAACAGUGAUGACUACACUCAGAACCAUAUAGAAUUACAUUCCAAGAUGAAGAAAUUAAUAACAGAGCAGUGCUAUAAAGCUAAAUGUGAGAACCAAAGAUUAAUAAGCAAUGCUGAAAAUUUUAUCAUGCAUAAGAUGAGAGAAGCACAGGACAGAUUUUAUCAAAUCUAUAGUUUUUCUUCAAUAAUAAUAAUAUUUUUUAAAAAUUUAAUAAUAAUAAAAAAAAAAAACUCAUGUUCCUUGGCUCUUUCUCUUGCCAAACUGAAGCUACCAUAGUCAAAUCCAAGUAACUUAGAUGUCACGCUCUUGCUAAACCCAAGUUAUUUGGGUAUGACAUCUCAUGCUGGACUCAUAGCAUUCCAGAUCAAAGGUGUUGAUAUCUAACAAUAAUACCUCACCCGAGCCCUAAGAUGUGAUUGCUUUUCUAGACCCGAGGGCCAAGGCACCAAGACACUAUUCACUAUAAGUCAAGUCAAUGAAUCAAUCAAUCGAUUUUAAAGAUCAAGUUUUUUUUUUAAUAGAGAAACAAAACUUUUAUUAACAUUGAAAUAACUCUUAAAAUCUUAAUAAAAUUAAUUUGAAGUAAAAAUAAUAUUAAAAGAAAUAUUCAGAAGCACUUUUUGAUUGUAAAAUCAAACACACUAAAAUCAUGUAGAUUUUCAUUUAGACAUUAAAAUUCAAGAAGAAAUUAAGUUCACAGUACUAUUAAUUCAAUCGAUGAAGGAUUAGACCCAACUACUUUAGGGCCACCAUUGACAUUGAUUACUUUGAAUAAUUUUAAUUUAUAGGCAUAAAAAAUUAAUACAUAUCUUUAAGAGGAUCAAUUUUAGAUUAUCUCUCUCUCUCUCUCUCUAUUUUUUUUUUGGUUUUCAAAUAUUUGACAUUUUCGUUUAGAUAAGCUCUAGUGUGUGUUUUUUUAAGAUUAUUUUAAAUCAUGUUUCUUGAAAUGUCAAAAACAUUUCAUGGAUUAAUUUAACUUAAUAACGCCAAAGAAUUAGGAAUUAAAACUGACAAUUUCCACCAUGUAAGAGUACCUAAUUGAAAAUUUACUUUCUUAUCAUUUACCUCAAUUAAGCGGAAGCAUGAUCAUGAGAAGGGAUUUGGAGAAAGAAUUAUAAACAGAGAAUAAGAGAAAAUGUAAUGUGUAUAGAUUUUCUUAAUGAAUUAAUUAUGAUACAACAGAAGCUCAUAUAUAUAUAUAUAUACAUUCUAAACUAAUCAGUUAUGAAAUGUUAUUACAAAUAUAAUUUGAAUUUCAAUUUUAAAAUCAUGAUUAGUGCAGGUUUAUCAAUGCAGCAGAAUAUCCAUCAUAAACAAGAAGUUCACAGUUACAAAGUUUGAAUCUUUGUAACUGUAACUCUCUUUUGAAACUCUCUUCUUGGUCUUCAAUAUCCGUUAGCUAGCUGGAGAUGUAACAGUUACAAAGUUUGAAUCUUUGUAACUGUAACUCUCUUCUUGGUCUUCAAUGUCUGUCAGUUACAAAGUUUGAAUCUUUGUAACUGUAACUCUCUUAUGCUUAACAUUCCCCUGCAAACUGAUGGGGAUAGGAAUCACCAUCAAUUUGGACCGUAAAAACAUAAACCUUGCUGUAGUAUGACCUUUGGUGAAGACAUCUGCAAUCUGGUCAUAUGUUGAAAUAUAUCGUACAAGAAUAUCCUUAUUAAGAACUUUUUCACGGAUGAAGUGAUAAUCCACCUCUAUGUGCUUCGUUCGGGCAUGAAAAACAGGAUUAGAGGCAAGAGAUAUUGCACCUACAUUAUCACACCAUAGUGUAGGAGGUGACGACAAUGAAAUGCCAAGAUCUUGCAAUAACAUUCGAAGCCAAUAUAGUUCAGCAGUGACAAGAGCCAUGGAUCGAUAUUCGGCCUCAGUACUGGAUUUAGACACAACACUUUGUUUCUUUGCACUCCAGGAUAUGAGAUUUUGGCCUAGAAACACAAUAUAACCACUUGUAGAUUUUCUAUCAUCAGGAUUCCCAGCCCAAUCUGCAUCACAGAAAGCAUCUAAUGUUGUUGUCGAUUGAGUGUAGUGAAUACCAUAAUCAAUUGUUCCUUUCAAGUAACGAAGAACUCUUUUGGUAGCAAUCCAGUGUGGUUCUCGUGGAGCAUGCAUGAAUUGGCAUAAUUGGUUCACUGCAUAGCUGAUGUCAGGUCUUGUUAAAGUGCAAUAUUGAAGAGCACCAAUAACUUGAUGAUAUUCAGUUGGAUCAUUCAAUAUCCGUUAGCUAGCUGGAGAUGUAACAGUUACAAAGUUUGAAUCUUUGUAACUGUAACUCUCUUAUGCUUAACAUUUGGGAGGCACUUAGAUUAGGCUCUUCUCUAGUCUUGAGAAGCAAAACCAAUAGAGACGUGAUUGCGCACUCCCUGAGCUAUAUAGUAAGUGGCUGCAAACAAAUUGUCAGCACCAAUUCAGGUCCGGAAAAUUAAAGCAUUGAAGCAUAAAAGGUGACCUAACCUAAUUAAGCAAAUUACUACUUAUUCCAGCAUCACCUAGGAGUGAGACAGCCAGCCCAUCCAGUGUCUACAUGGUAAGGGAAUAAUUCCUUCAAGAAUGCAGAGAAAAUUAUACUUGCAAUACAACUAUAAACGAGAUGGUACAGUGCGGAAGGCAAGAUGUUAAAUCAAUUGAUCUUAUUAUAAUACUGUGAAAUAUGAUCAGGACAAAAAAAUAAAUAAAGAAAGAAAGAGUUGUUUAUUUUACAAUGAUCGAUAUGAUGCUUCUUUGCAUGUGGAAUCUUCGUCAAAGACUUGUUGAAAAUGCCAAAUUGUGAUCCACUUUUGGCUGUGUCAAAUGCAUGGGUGGGGCUUCACACAGAGCUAUUACCCCUUGUGUAAACUCAACGCCAGUUUUCAUGAGUUCUUUGGGAUUCUAACAUAGUAAAAAAAAGAAAGAUAAAAUAACAAAGUGUAAAGAAUAUUUAGUGAAAUAGAUAUUCGUGAUUAAUCAGUAGCAAUUAUUAUAUGCUGGCUCUCUCGGGUUUACUUGACAGAAGAUUUAUUAAAAAGAGUUGAUAAAGGAGAAAGAAAAGAAAAGAAAAUCUUCAAGGUAUAUCAAAACUCUGAUAAUAAUAUUAUUGGUAUUGUUAAAAAAAUCUCGACAAGACAAAUCGAAAAAUAACAAUGAAGGUCAUCAAUGACGAUAAAAAUAAGUCAUACGAGUGGCCCAAGAUAAGUGAGUUUUAAUACUUUUGAACAGCUUGUAUGAUUCAUUUUAUUCACUAUUUAUAAUCUUUUUUGAUGCUGUUAAAUUCAUCUUGUAAUGAUGUUGAUAAUGUUAUCAUUAUAAUUUCAAUGUAUUUUUAUUUUUAUUAUUAUUUUUUGUUUUGCUCUCUCUCCUCUCUCAUUGUAAUUUAUGAAGAGUAAGAGAGGGGGAAAAAAAAAACCCUAGUCUUCCAAUUUAAUCUGGCUGAAUACUACUAUCUCAAUCUUAUUCACUACUUUGUCAAAGCAAAGUAGAUUUUUCCUUAAAUAAGAUCUAAUCCACCGGCGGAUAGGUGAUCAAGAAUAUUAAAUUAGUGUAAAACUUGAUUUAAUUCAACAUUAUAAUUAGAGGUGCUAUAAUAAUGUGAAAAAAAGAAUAAAAAAACUAGAUGAUGGCGACCACAUAUCAAUAAUUCCAGACAUCACGUGGAGCACUUUCAUCAUCAUUAUUAUUAUUGGUAUAAUAAUGUUUGUUGUAUUAUUUUUUAAUUGUUAAGUUGUUUACUAUAUGUUAAAAUUUCAAGAUCUUCAAAGAUUGGGAAGAUCGGAUCUAAAGUUACUAUGGGACUGUCUUUAUUUUCCUAUUUGGAUUUUUUUAUUUAUAUUAAGAAUUUAAAUUUAAUUAGUAUUUUAUUAUUUAAAAAUUUUAAUGGUAAAUUGAUUCUAUUAGUUAGGUAAAUUUUAAAUAUAAAUUAUUUUUCUAUACAAAAUUUUAAAUCUAGAACUAAUAUAAAUAAAAAUAUUUAGUUUAUUUUUGUUCGAGGAUUCAUAUUAUUAUUUAAAUUUUUUUAUAAAUAUUUAGAGAUUUUUUCUAAUUUCCUAUGGUGUUAGGGAUUAUAACCUUAAGGUUUGGUUUGAAAUAAUGAUGACAGUUAUUUCUUAAAGUGUUUUUCACUUGAAAAUACAUUAAAAUAAUAUUUUUUUUAUUUUUUAAAUUUUUUUUUGAUAUCAGCAUAUCAAAACAAUUCAAAAACACCAAAAACUUAAUUUGAAAAAAAAUCAAAAUUUAUAAAAACCCCGGUUAAAAUGUUUUACCAAACACUUCUUAGUUUUUAAUAUUAAUACAUCAAAACAAUCCAAAAAUAUUAAUUUAAAAUUUUUAAAAACUCCGGUUGCGUUUGUAAGAUGUGUUGCGGCUCUCAACUUGCUACAAUGGCCUUUCUUUAAUAUUUUAUUUACACCAUUCAUGGAACCCUCUUUGCCUUCCACACAAAUCCCGGAUUUUGGUGAAACUGCUAAGAGGAAAAAUGAAGAGCUUUCCAAAGGCCAUGCUAAAACUACAAAGAAGUGAUCUCUACCUUUCCAGAAGUUAAAGGCUUUUGGGACGUUCCGCUCUUCUUGGGAAGACUCAUGUCAGUUCAAGAACACUACAAGCCUCAAUCCACUGAUAUAUUUGUCGCCAGCUUUCCAAAAACGAAGGAAAUCUUUGGUUAAUGUUCUCUGAAUCUCUCCUUUUCUCCUUCAAGAGUGAAAUUUAUGUGCCUUUCGUACCUUUUUACGUUAGAACAUUUCAUUUGUUCUUGUUUUCUAAAUUGAGUCUUUUCUAUGCGUUUUAUUAUUUUAUUUAUUGGGUAUUUGAGAGUGUAGUAAUAGUUAUAAUUUAAAGUGUUUUUAUUCAAAAAUAUAUUAAAAUAAUAUAUAUUUUUAAUUUUUUAAUAUUCAUCUUUUGACAACAUCACUCCAAAACAUUAGAAAACAUAAAAAAAAAAAAAACAAUUAGAAAACAAUUAGAAAACGCAAGAUUGCAUCAAUGCUAAAUGCAAUAUAUAUAUAUAGGUGCGCGCGCGCGCGUGUGUGAGAGAGAGAGAGAUCCACCUGUGUGUGAAAUGCAUAGUGAUGUUCCACAGCGAGCCAUUAUCUAUUAUGUAAAAUCUCUGAGAAAUGUCAUAGAUCAAUUGGUCGAUAUAGCAAAUUGAUAGGUUAAAGCUGCUCAUAAUCAAUACCUCUAAAAGAUUAUCUUUGGUGGAGAUGAAAACUUUUUGAUAUGUAAAUAAGUAUUUAAAAAAAAAUUAAAUAUUCUAUAAAGAGAUGUUCUGAAAAUACAAAUGCAGUAGAGAAUUGGAGAUUGUGAAUCUUUAUUAUGAAGGUCUCAUGAUAUAUUUAUAGCUCGAAUCUUGUCAUUUUGUGAAAAUAAGAGUUUGCAGUGUAAUUAACCUGAUAACAUUUAAUGAGGAAUAAAUAUCAUUUACAUGAUGGGAAUAUGGUGGGUCCUCGAAGGAGUUUUAUACACCUUAAAAGGUAUCAGAAAAUUAGAGUUUAAGAUAUCAAGUGUAGCUGAGCUUAUAGAGAUCAAGUUCUUUCUUGAGAUUAAAUCCAAGGGAGGUUUGUCAUUCCCCUGGACAUGCCAAGGAAGAAUGGUUAUUAUCUUGGACUUGGUUGGUUGCCAAAUCCAAGCAUCUUGGGCAUGACAUGCGUGCCAGAUCCACACUACCUUGAAGUUGGAGCACUACUAAGUCCAAGCGCCUCGGGUCUGACAUGCAUGCCAGACUUAUACUACGCUGGACUUGGUGCAUUACUAAGUCCAAAUGCCUUGGGUCUGAUAUGCCUGUUAGACCUAUAUUAUCUUGGGCUUGACGCAUUACUAUAUUCAAGCACCUUGAACUUAAUUAAUUGUCAAGUCCAUGCAUCUUAGAUUUAGAUCUAACAUAUACACUAGACUCAUAUUACAUUGAAUCUAGCGCAUUACAAAGUUAUAAUGCCUUGAAUUAAGUAUAUGUGCCACAUCCAUACAUUUUAAAAAACCAAACGAAAACUAAAUAAAAAGUUGACUCAUCGCUAAUCUAUAAAUACUAUCUACAUAAUGGCCUUAGUUGAUAUCUUCUACCGCUUACUACAUUUACUUGAAUAAUGAAAAUGUUUUUUUUUUUUAAUGGAAAAGAGAUUUUAACUCCAUCUUCAAUUACUAUAUAAAUGUUUCCUUGGGUUUUGAAAACGCAAUCAUGCUAAAAAUUUAUUAUCUAAUAUAAAAUAAAAUGUAUUUGUUUUUAUAUUUUAAAAAUGUUUUUUUUUUAAUUUUUUAAUUUUCAUCUUGUUUUGAUGUGUUAAUAUUAAUAAUAAAUUUUAAAAAUAAAAAAAAUAUUAUUUUAAUAUAUUUUUUAAAUUAAAAAUAUUUUAAAAAAUAACUAUUACAACAUUAACGAAUAAGAUUUAAUAUAAAAAACAUUCUAAUUGCAUCAGCUGAGAGGUGAUCAACAAUACCGCAUUCCCGAACUUCACAUCCCUAUAUUAAUGGAUUGUGUUGUGGGCUCCACGCCAUUUAAAGCUUGUAAGAGAAACCACACCUCUAAAUAGAAACCACACGAUCACGCUAAAAGAUUUGCUAUCGAAUAUAAUAUGAAAUAAAACCCAAUUGCAUCAGCGGACAUGUGAUCAAUAAUAUUAAAAUAAGGUAAUAGUUGAUGGGCCACAAAUUAAACCAGCUCUCAACUCGCUACAAAUAGCUGCCAUGGCCUUUCAUUCUACGUUAUAUUUUCAUUUUUUACAUUCAUGGAAUCCUCUUUGCCUUCCACCCAAAUCUCGGAUUCUGGUGACAGUGCAGAGAGGAAAAAUGAAGCUAAAAAUUACAAUGAAGUGAUGUCCACCUUUCCGAAAGUUAAAGGCUUGAAUGGGUAUGAUUAUUACCUGUACCAAGGCUUUUGGUACGCUCCCUUCUUCUUGGAAGGACUCUUGUCUGUUCAAGAGCGCUUCAAUCCUCAAUCCACUGAUAUAUUUGUCGCCAGUUGUCCAAAAACUGGCACAACUUGGCUUAAGGCCCUCACUUUUGCUAUUUUCACACGAUCCCGUUUAAGUGGUUCAACAACUAGUUCUUUACUUACCAAGAUGCCACAUGACUGUGUUCCUUUUUUGGAAUAUCACCUUGCUCAAAACCCCAGUAAUCGGGACUUGGCAAUUCCUCUGGUAUCUACUCAUGUUCCUUGCACUUGUUUACCUAAAUCUAUCAUUUCUUCUUGUUGCAAGAUUAUUUACAUUUCCAGGGACGCAAAGGAUGCUUUUGUUUCUUUGUGGUACUUUCUUGCCAGGCUGCAAAUGUCGAAAAAUGUUGAACCUCUUCCUCUGGAAGAGGCAUUUGAGUUGUUUUGCAAUGGAAUUGCAAAUUUUGGACCAUAUUGGGACCAUGUUUUAGGGUAUUGGAGAGCAAGCUUCGAGUUCCCUGAUAUUGUUCUUGACAUACGAGGAAAUGAAGAAAGACACCGCUGCUCAUGUUAAGAAACUAGCUGAGUUCAUGGGUUGUUCUUUCUGUUGCAUUAAACUCAAUCUAGAAGGUUAAGGAAGGCAACCACCACUUGCAGCCACUAGCUGUCACCGCCUAGCCGCCAGCCGUCUUCAUACUUGAAAGUUGAAUUAUCUUGUUUUUGAAUUCUGUGUAUAAAUAGAUAGCUAAGUGGAUGUUAUUCUGUGUGGAAAGAGAAGAAAGAAACACUAGAGAGAAAGAGAGAGGGAGUGUGUAGCUUUUGUUUAAUUAUUGUAAGCUUUUAUUGUUGAAAUAAAACAGUGUGUUUUAUCUCUUCUGAGUGUUUCAAAGCCACCACCAGUGGUUUCUCCCACCAACAAUUGGUAUCAGAGCCUCGUUCGUCACAAAACACAAGUAUUUUGGGAGAUACACGAAUUUUCAAAGUUGUCAAAAACAAUUUUUGAUCAUUCCACAAUGUAGAGCUCAUCCAUACGAACUCACUGGUGCAAAAAUCAGCUUCAUCGGAGCCCGAGGUGAUCCCCACGCGCCUCCUGAAAUUCCGGUAACUGUAGCCCAGUCUCACCCACGCGCUCCAGAGGUUGAAGACGCCAGAGGUUGAAGACGAGUGUCGUCCACGCGCGCCAUAUUCGAGCCGAUCCCCAGCCGAGCCGAUCUUUAGCCUCAGCCGAGCCGAUAGAAUAUUCCCCAGAAUAUUCCCGGUUCAACCCCAGCGAACCGCCUAACGUCCAGAAUCGGUUUUCAGACCGGUUCAGCCUAUUUCUGACCCAUUUUCAUCCAAGUCAGGCCGGUUCCCUACUGUUUUGAGCAUUCUGGAUCCAUCUACGGUGUCUGUUUUGCCAAAUUCAACUCCCAGAAGGUGAUAUAGUCAUUCAAAAAGCAAAAUGACUACAGAAAAUGCACAAACACUCAUCCCGAAGCUGACCAAAGACAACUAUGAUAGUUGGUGUAUCAGAUUGAAGGCAUUUCUUGGUUUACAAGAGUGUAUAGAGAUUGUGCAAUAUGGUUAUGAUGAACCAGAGUCUAAAGAAGUAGAAGAUACUUUAAAUGAGGCAGAAAAGCAAGUCCUCAAAGCAAAUAGAAAGAAAGACAACAAAGCAAAGACCAUAAUCUAUCAAGGUCUUGACGAAGCUAUAUUCGAAAUUAUUGCUUCCGCAGAAACAUCAAAAGAGAUAUGGGAGGCUCUCCAACAAAAAUACAAAGGUGCUGACAGAAUCAAGAAGAUUCGUCUCCAAUCUUUGCGAGGUGAGUUUGAAUUAUUGCAAAUGAAGGCCUUAGAAUCUAUUUUUGACUAUCACACAAGAAUUAUGGUGAUAGUCAAUCAGAUGAGAAGAAAUGGAGAAGCCCUCACAGAUGCUCGGAUUACAGAGAAAAUUUUGAGAUCCCUAUAUCCAAAAUUUUAUUUUGUUGUUGUCGUUAUUGAAGAGUCCAAAGAAGUGGACAAGUUGAUGGUGGAUGAGCUUAUGAGUUCUUUGCAAGCUCAUGAGCAAAAGAUCGUGAAAAGAAAUGGAGAUAAGGCAAUUGAGCAUGCCUUACAAGCAAAGUUGUCUCUCAAAGACAGAUAUGAGCAAGGGGAGACUUCAAUAAGUGGAUAUACCACUCAAGGAAGAAGUCCACAAAGACGAGGAGGAUUUCAGCAAUUCCAAGGAAGAGGAUCUUGGAAUACAGGUUUUAGAGGAAGAGGUGGCAGAUAUACCACUAGAGGAGGCCGAGGACAACAAUCAUUCACUCCUAAAGGAAGAGGAGGCGGUUACAAUAACCGUGACAAGAGGAAUAUCCAGUGUUAUAAGUGCAAUCAAUUUGGGCACUAUAGCAUUGAAUGUCAAAGGAAAGCUCCAUUAGAGGUACGUGAGCAUGCAAACUAUGCAGAGGAGGAUGCCAACAGCAGAGGAGCAGCUGCAUUAUUUGUCCAACAAGGACUUGACAAGAAUCAAGAGAAUAUUUGGUAUCUUGAUUCUGGAGCCAGCAAUCACAUGUGUGGCCAACGAGAUCUAUUUGGCGAUCUAGAUGAGACCAUACAAGGUCUAGUCACCUUUGGAGAUACAUCAAAAGUUCCAUUCAAAGGUAAAGGCAACAUCCCAAUCAAGUUGAAGAAUGGCGAUCAUAGCUACAUCGCCAAUGUCUACUAUGUCCCAGCCAUAAAGCAAAACUUGGUGAGCAUAGGUCAACUUCUAAAGAAAGGUUAUACACUUUUCAUGAAGAAUUGUCAUCUGACAGUUACAGACUACAAUGGGAGAUUAAUUGCCUAUGUGAAAAUGUCCAAGAAUAGGAUGUUUCCUUUAAACAUCCAAUAUGAUGCAGCAAAGUAUUUGAGUGCCAUCACCAACAGUGAAGAGUGGCUUUGGCACCUGAGGCUUGGACAUCUGAAUUUCACAAGUCUGAAGAUGCUAGCAAGCAAGAAGAUGGUCAAAGGUAUGCCCCACAUUGAUCAUCCAGAUGAAGUCUGUGAGAGUUGUGUCCUCAGCAAACAUCACAGAUCCAAUUUUGCCAAAGAAGUCAACUGGAAAGCAAACAAGCCACUGGAGUUAGUGCACACAGAUGUGUGUGGUCCCAUAAAGCCUAUGUCGACUGGACCAAAUAGGUACUUCCUUACUUUCAUUGAUGAUUUUAGCAGAAAGACGUGGAUAUACUUUCUGAAGAGGAAGUUAGAAGUGUUCAAUUGUUUUAAAGAUUUUAAAGCAAUUGUUGAGAAGCAAAGUGGCUAUAAGAUCAGAACCGUGAGAUCUGAUCAAGGUGGAGAAUAUACAGCAAAUGACUUUGAAGCCUUUUGUACACAACAAGGCAUCAAACAUCAGACAACACCAGCUUAUACACCACAGCUGAAUGGUGUAGCUGAAAGAAAGAAUCGAACGAUUCUUGACAUGGCGAGAAGUCUACUCAAAGCAAAGAAGCUGCCCAAACAAUACUAGGCUGAAGCUGUAUCAUGUGCAGUGUAUCUACUGAAUCGCUGCCCAACCAAAAGUUUGCAAGCUGUCACUCCACAAGAAGCAUGGAGUGGUCACAAACCAAGUGUUACUCAUCUUCGAGUCUUUGGUUGUGUGGCAUAUGCAAAGAUCCCAGAUGCAAGAAGGACCAAACUCGAUGAUAAAAGCGAGAAAUGCAUCUUUGUCGGAUAUGGUGAGAGAAAGAUGGGAUACAAGCUGUAUAAUCUCAUCACAAAGAAGGUAAUUAUGAGUAGAGAUGUUAUCUUUGAAGAAGAUAAAACAUGGCAAUGGAAGGAUGACCAAGAAGCAGUCAAAUGGAUCAGCACUGAUUUGAUCCUUGAAGAUGAAGUGGAAGUACCACCAGUACUUGCAGAAGGUCUGAUAUUACCGGCAGAUGAGCCACAAAGUUCGGUACACAGAUUCCCUGUAUUCAACAGGAGAAACACACCAGAAUCAUCAUCAGCAUCCUCAUCAGAAGGACCAAGAAGGAUGAGAAAUCUAGACGAGUUGUACGAUGUCAUGCAAGUCAUGGAAGAUACAACUCUAUUUUGUUUCUUUACAGAUACUGACCCACUUAGCUUCAAUGAAGUUAUCAAAGAAGAGAAGUGGAUAUAAGCAAUGGAUGAAGAAAUACAUGCUAUUGAGAAGAAUGACACCUGGAAGCUGACUAAUCUACUAGAAAACAAGAAAGCAAUAGGUGCCAAAUGGGUCUAUAAGACAAAGAAGAAUGCAAAAGGAGAAGUGCAAAGAUACAAAGCAAGAUUAGUAGCAAAAGGCUACAAAUAAAGAGAAGGCAUUGACUAUGGAGAAGUAUUUGCUCCAGUAGCCCGGCUAGAGACAAUCAGACUGAUGAUCUCACUAGCUGCACAACAUAGAUGGAAGAUCUAUUAACUCGAUGUGAAGUCAGCAUUUCUGAAUGGCUUCCUAGAAGAAGAGAUCUAUGUUGAACAACCACUUGGAUACAUCGAAGCUGAAAAUGACGGCAAAGUAUACAAGUUGAAGAAAGCUCUCUACGGUUUGAAGCAAGUUCCGCGUGCUUGGAAUACCAGAAUUGACAGGUAUUUUCAAGAAAAUGAAUUUGAAAAAUGUCCAUAUGAACACGCAAUAUAUGUGAAGAAAGAAGCAGAUAACAACAUAUUAUUUGUGUGCCUAUAUGUUGAUGAUUUGCUAUUCACCGGCAACAACCCAACCAUGUUUGAAGCCUUCAAGAAAAGCAUGGUACAAGAGUUUGAGAUGACAGACAUUGGUCUGAUGGCACACUUUCUUGGCUUAGAAGUGGUGCAGAAAGAAGAAGGGAUUUUUGUAUCCCAAAGCAGUUAUGCCAAAGACAUUCUUGAAAGGUUCAAGAUGGAAAGCUGCAAUCCGGUAUCAACUCCAGUUGAGAAUGGAGUAGAAUUGAGGAAGAGUAAAGUUGGAAAUGUUGAUCCAACUUACUUCAAAAGCUUAGUAGGAAGCUUAAGGUACUUGACAUGUACCAGACCGGAUAUACUCUACGGAGUUGGUCUUAUCAGCAGAUACAUGGAGACACCAGACCAGUCUCACUUGAAUGCAGCCAAGAGAAUUCUUCGCUACAUCAAAGGAACAAUCAAUGAAGGUAUGUUUUAUACCUCAAGUACAAACUUCAAUCUUGUUGGCUACUCGGAUAGUGAUUGGGGUAGAGAUCUGGAUGAAAGGAAAAGCACAACAGGGUUUGUCUUUUUCAUGGGAAAUACAUUUUUCACAUGGUCAUCCAAGAAGCAAUCGAUAGUAACGUUAUCAAGCUGUGAAGCUGAGUAUGUUGCUGCCAACUCAGCUGUAUGCCAUUUAAUAUGGUUAAGAAAUAUGCUGAAGCAUUUGGGAUUUCCUCAAGAAGAUCCCACAGAGAUUUAUAUUGAUAAUCGAUCAGCGAUUGCAUUAGCAAAGAACCCGGUGUAUCAUGAACGAAGUAAACACAUUGAUACACGUCAACACUUUAUCCGAGAGCAUAUAAAGAACAAAGAAGUCGAGCUGAUAUCCUGCAAGACAAAUGAUCAAGUUGCAGAUAUCUUUACAAAGCCAUUGAAGGGAGAAACAUUUAUCAGACUGAAGUUCAUACUUGGCGUGACAUCCCUCGAUUAAGUUUAAAGGGGGGAUUUGUUGCAUUAAACUCAAUCUAGAAGGUCAAGGAAGGCAACCACCACUUGCAACCACCAGCUGUCACCGCCCAGCCACAAACCGCCCAGCCGCCAGCCACUAGCUGUAUGCCGCCAGCCUCCAGCCGCCUUCACACUUGAAGGUUGAAUUAUCUUGUUUUUGAAUUCGUGUAUAAAUAGGUAGCUAAGUGGAUGUUAUUCUGUGUGGAAAGAGAAGAAAGAAACACUAGAGAGAAAAGAGAGGGAGUGUGUAGCUUUUGUUUAAUUAUUGUAAGCUUUUAUUGUUGAAAUAAAACAGUGUGUUUUAUCCCCUCUGAGUGUUUCAAAGCCACCACCAGUGGUUUCUCCCACCAACACUUUCACCUUAGAGGAAGAGGAGGAAGGGGAGGUGCAAAAGAUAAUAAGCAUGUGUAGUUUUGAGAAGUUGAGCAACUUGGAGGUGAAUAAAAAUGGGAAGCACCGUCCGGACACAUCAAUUGCUAUUCAAAACAGUGUAUACUUCAGGAGAGGUGAGAUAGGCGACUGGGCAAAUCACUUGACACCUGAAAUGGGAGCACGUCUAGAUGACAUAAUGGAGCAGAAACUCAAGGGUUCAGGCUUGAAGCUGCCGAGGUGAAUGUGCCUAGGGUCCCAUUUGCUUGUGAUUAUUGCCGAAGCGGGUUCAUCAAAAGCUGUUAUCAACAUCUCGUGAAACAGCAACUGUGUAUCCCAAUAAAUACCCUCUCUGUUCAUCUCUUGUAUUUCCCAGCAAGUAUUCACAUUUUGUGAAUCAUCCAUGUCAAUAAGCA